rnacentral:rRNA from 1 species
ACCCCCGAAUUUGGGAUAACUCCGCGAAAGCGGGGCUAAUACCGGAUAACAUCAUUGGAACCCAGGUUCCAAUGAUCAAAGGUGGCCUCUACAUGUAAGCUACUGUUUGGGGAUGAGCCCGCGUACCAUUAGCUUGUUGGUAGGGUAAUGGCCUACCAAGGCGACGAUGGUUAGCUGGUCUGAGAGGAUGAUCAGCCACACUGGAACUGACACACGGUCCAGACUCCUACGGGAGGCAGCAGUGAGGAAUUUUGCGCAAUGGGGGAAACCCUGACGCAGCAACGCCGUGUGAGUGAUGAAGGCCUUCGGGUCGUAAAGCUCUGUCGAGUGGGAAGAACCCACACCCGUAUAAUAAGCGGGUGUGCUGACGGUACCACUGAAGGAAGCACCGGCUAACUCCGUGCCAGCAGCCGCGGUAAUACGGAGGGUGCGAGCGUUAUUCGGAAUUAUUGGGCGUAAAGGGCACGUAGGCGGCCGUGUUAGUCAGCUGUGAAAGCCCGGGGCUUAACCCCGGAAGUGCAGUUGAUACUACACGGCUUGAGUAUGGGAGAGGGAAGUGGAAUUCCUGGUGUAGCGGUGAAAUGCGUAGAUAUCAGGAGGAACACCGGUGGCGAAGGCGACUUCCUGGACCAAUACUGACGCUGAGGUGCGAAGGCGUGGGGAGCAAACAGGAUUAGAUACCCUGGUAGUCCACGCAGUAAACGUUG